rnacentral:rRNA from 1 species
GACGAACGCUGGCGGCGUGCUUAACACAUGCAAGUCGAACGAUGAACCGGGUGCUUGCACCUGGGGAUUAGUGGCGAACGGGUGAGUAACACGUGAGUAACCUGCCCUGGACUCUGGGAUAACCCCGAGAAAUCGGAACUAAUACCGGAUAGGACCUUUCCUCGCAUGAGGUUUGGUGGAAAGUUUUUCGGUCUGGGAUGGACUCGCGGCCUAUCAGCUUGUUGGUGAGGUAAUGGCUCACCAAGGCGUCGACGGGUAGCCGGCCUGAGAGGGUGACCGGCCACACUGGGACUGAGACACGGCCCAGACUCCUACGGGAGGCAGCAGUGGGGAAUAUUGCACAAUGGGCGCAAGCCUGAUGCAGCAACGCCGCGUGCGGGACGACGGCCUUCGGGUUGUAAACCGCUUUUAGUAGGGAAGAAGCCUUCGGGUGACGGUACCUGCAGAAAAAGGACCGGCUAACUACGUGCCAGCCGCCGCCGUAACAC